UUCUGGUGCCGGCGGCAGGUCCCCCGGUCUCCCCGAGCCCCGGCCAGCACGAGGCAGAGGCGUGUGGCAGCGCAGAUCCCCUCCCCCAAUCCGCUCUUCUCCGCGCCACCAUUACUCCAAUCCGUUCCCCUCCGUCAUUCCUCUCAAUGUUUGCAGCCAGUCAGGGUCACGGAGGCCUCAAGGAGUCAAGUGGUCAGUGGCCUGUACACACGGUGGGUUGGGCAGCAGCGCCGGAAGUCGUACGAAGCAACAGCGCUGAAAUUUGUGUUAACUAGA